rnacentral:lncRNA from 1 species
UCCUUUCUGCCAUGUGUUGUGAGGGUGGAUCAACACAUAAAGACGUAACUUGCACAUUUCCAAAUGGCACUUCGCGGCCUGACGGGUCACCUUGUUUGGUAAAACGUUCUGGCAGUGAAUGUGAGGGGGGGAAAUGCCAUGAUGGUUUCUGCGAAAUGACUGAAUAUGAGAAGAAUUGUGAAACUGCCUAAGACCUAAUUAAGUAAAAAUAUAUUGCUGGAAGGAACACAGAACUGGUUCUACAAAGCCGGCCAGAUGACGUUUACUCUUGUUUUUAACUCAUGAUUAAAAUUAGUCACUUACAUUUCAGCUGUCGCCCCACCAUGGUGGUCUAGUGGUUAUGGCGCUCGACUGCUGACCCGUAGGUCGAGGGAUUGAAUCCCGGCCGCGGCGGCUGCA